UGGAAAAUAGCUGCCACCCCAGCUGGGCGCUGCAUGUAUACAGAGGGGCUCCAGAAGGUGCAGGAGCACCAUGUGAAGAAAAAUCCUGCAGGUACUAUGCUUAAAAAAAAUUGCAACCAGUUACGUGACGCGAUAGGUAGUUACCCACUCUGCUGAGAAUAUUUACAGUGCUGCUGGGUGCCCGUGGGACUCCCAAGCCUUGACAGGCAAUGUCCAAGGUCCUGUUUUCAUGGCUCUUACAGAGGAGAUGUCUGCUCAGAGGCAAGGAGAGGAGCACCAGCCUAGCCCAGCCCUCCUAGAUUAAUUACAGGAACUGCUAGAAAAACACAACCUCCAGUCCACAUCUAAGGCUUCUCCGGGACUAGGAGGGCUAUUUCCCUGAGCUUUUUAGUGAGAUUACAUAACUGAUGAACCAAGAAGUCGGGUCAAGUUAAACUGAGAAUACCCAAUUAGUUCUCGGGGGAAAGGCACGUCCAAGCAGGUGGCUGCCUCGAGCUCUCAAGGGGCAGCGGCUGGAUCUGAUUAUGCACGGCACCUUGAAACCUCAGGACAAUGCAGAGGGUGCAGGUUAUUCUCUUUUACAGAUAAUCUGGCUAAGCCGUGGUGUGCUUAAAUAAUUUAUAUAAGGCCUCCAAGUUUUUAAGUAGCAGGAUGAGGAUGCGAAGCCAGUCCCAUUUGACUCUUAAAUCAGAGCCGCCUAGUCUAUUCAGUUUUCCAACUUAGAGAGAGCUCAUGAGGCCGCAGCCUGCAGUCAGAUAUUGAGACACAGCCAGCCAAUCCACACACCACAAACGAUCAAUUACCAGGACAAAAACCACUGAAACUAAAAUGGAACACAAAAGCAAGACUAAGGAAAAAAUUUGGGUUUUUUUUAGUCUUAAGCAACAGAAAAGCUACCUUAAAUCUCAGACAUGAGGCUUCAUUUGGAAAGUCGUUUUCAUAUAGGGCUUUAAUUUUAUAUGAACAAUUAACAUUCUGGCUUGGAAAUCAAACCUCUGCACAUUUCAGAACCUGUGGUUCCAGCAGAGCAAUGGUAGACCUGAAUCAGGCCACAAACCAGUGCCAAGAACACAACACAACACCAGGAAUGCCCUCUCCAAGACACAGUCACGGGUGUGCAAGGAUGUGGAUGCUAAGCGUCACUAUGGCAUAAUUUCUAUAAAAAGUUGGAGAGAAGAUUCCAGAAAAGAUACAGGAAAAAAACUAACUCCCCCAUGCUCCAAAAAAACCCCCACAAAAACCUGAAAGUGAACAGAUAUUCAUGGUCGAUGGCCAAGUAUGUGGGCCUGGUGAUUAGCUUCAAGAGCUCCCUUGAAGCUCAAGGGAGACGACAGAGCUCACGCUACUCGCAGAGAGAUUAUGGAUGCUGCUCUGUGGGCAGGAUGCCCUUCUCCCCAGCCCCAGGCCAAGGUACAGGGGGCUGACUGUGCAGCAACCAGAUUUCAGUGCUUAUUCCCGCAGAUAAUCAUAACCCACAGCUCCUGAGUCCAUGCGCAGGGCAAGCGCCCCCUCUUCCAAGCCACGGCAGUGACCACUGAUAGUCACAGUGAUUCCUCGGGGGUUCAGCGUCGGAUGGACUCCUACAAUUCAAAUGCACUGGAGAGUGUCAGUUCCAUGGCAGGAAGACUCUGAGGGAACCACGAAGCCUGCACAGAAAGAUCAGGGGCCAACUGCAAGCGUCCCCGAUGACCCAUCUGGCUUGGGGCAUUUUUCCUACCCUUUUUGUGAGGGCCACCUUAUGUUUAAAAGGGCCACCUUAUCUUUAAAAAAAUGUGCUAUAUCUACCCCUACUGGGUAAGAGUGAGGAUUAGGAUAAUUUUUAAAGUAGCGAAAACAAAUCCAGUGCCCCCCCAACCAAUAAUUAAUGUUCCAUGGCCUUUGAUUUUGACAAAUGCAGAGUAACUCACAUCAAGCCCUCUCUGCAGCCACUGCUGCAGCAAAAGGCUCUGAUGCCUGUAUGCCCACCUCCCAGGCGGUCCAGAAAGAAGCUAGCUCUGAGCAGACACUGCAAGGUUGCUGUGGGCUCCAGCACACUUGCCCUGCUCUUCAGAAUACCUGAGAUACGUUGGCCCUCAAUCCUUCCCAACCCACCAAGGAACUCUGAAGCUCACUGAGGUGUAUGGGAGAGGGCACAAGCUUCCAGUUCCUUCUACCCAGCACCAAGACACACACCCUCCACAUGUAAGCACCAGCUCUGCUGGAGAUCUAGGUCGAUGCAACCACCAUGGUCGAUGAAGAGGACCAGCCUGCAAGUACGCACAGAAAAGGUACCGACCCUACUGGAUGUGCUCUCCCUUCCAGUCAGUAAAGAUGCUGGAAAUUAUUAGGAUGGGCAGGUCUUUCCUUUGGGUUAAUUAGCACCUUCUUCUGAGCUCUUCUUAAAUGUUCAUAGCAUUCCUUCCCUUGUUACGAAAGGAUUAUGUGUUUUAGUCAAGUCAACAAAAACCAAAAAGCAGACAUGCAAAAAAAAAAAAUUGGGAGAGAACCAUGUAAAGAUAAAUUCUUUACUUUCUUUUGAAAUGAUCAUCACAAUAAGAGAAGGAGAGGAGAGACCAACUUCCAGGCUGAACUGACCCUAGAGCUGGCCCUACCCCACAAGAAUCAGGAGCAGUAAGUAAAGAGCGAGGGAAUUGACAAACCUCUCCAAAGGCAAAGGGAAAGAGAGAGAAGAGGAGAGGAAGCAAGGACAAAGUUUGCCUAAAACCUCAGAAUUUCUGGUUGUAUGACCAAUUUCAAACAUCUGUUAAAAAUUAUUUUACAAUUGUUUUUCUGAACUUUGGAAAAAUCCGCCAUGGUCUGUUGUGGUAUACUAAACUGCACGUCGCAAAGAAGGGGUACUUUGCUAUCUCCCAGUAAGGUCCAUCGCCAUCCCGAAAAAGCACCAUGAAUCAACCAGAGUCAAGUCAUUCCAAAUGCCAAGAAGCUGUCUAUGGGGAAACUCUGCCGGGUGUAAAGGAAGUUACUUCACUGACAAGAACAAAGAUGGCUGCCAGUGAGCGUACACAGUCCGUGGAUGAAGGCAGAGGCCACAGAUGGAGAACGGAAUCCAGUGACCGUAAGCAAUGACACCCAAUCUAGACAAGCCGAGGGGUAGAUGCUCGAGGAAAUCUGGACAUUCAGGAGCAAUGAACCAAGUCUCUUGUGGGGUGACAAAAAUCUACUGCUCCUCUGAGCCACCAGAGCAGAGUGAGUGAGCUAUGCUAACAUUUCAGCGACAAAGUCCUCUUCUAAGACGCUGCCAUCUUGAAUACGGGAACUUGCCACGCAAAAAGAGGUGUUCUUUUCAUUUGAAAUCUGUAGACGAAGCAGAGAGCGAUGCUUGAUCUUUCUGAAAAGAGAUUUUCUUUUGUGGCAGCAACCUAAAAGGAUUACUUGUCAAGAAUCUGCUCCAUCAUUUACAAUUGAAGAAAACCUGUUUAGAGAAAACUGCUUUAUUGGGGGAAAAAAAAUGACUUUGGAACAUUUGAAAUACCUUGACCUAUGAUGUAAUGUCCUCCAAGGAGACUGAGCUAGCAAUUCUUCACUGGCAAUGAAGUCACCCGUCACCUUGCCGCGUGUACAGAUGCUACAGCUGUAUUUACACACUGCCUAGAUCUGAAUCUCGGCUGCUGGAGGUUUUGCUCUGUAAAUUUGUUUUCUGGUGGCUGGGGUCAUGACAUUUCUGUACAACAAAGCUACCGGGAUCCUGUGCGAUCCGUACCCACUUGGACUUCAUUUCUCAGGACCUGAUAAGUGAGGAGCGGAGAGUCUACCCUGGAUUAAACCCAGGCAGCUCAGGGAGAGUUUUUCAUCUUCAUAAUAAAGAAGGAUGAAGGAAGAUGGACCAGAAACCAAACAGAGUUGCUAAGACAUCCUCAGUGACACACAGAUAGAAAUAAGAUUUUCCAAAGACUUCAGCAGUCUGCAAACCGAAAUGGGUUCUCACCAGAACCAGCCCUGCUGACACCAUGAUCUGGACUUCCAGCCUCCAGGACUGUGGGAAAUAAACUGUUUGCAAGCUACUCAAAGUAUUUCUGUUGGAGCACCCCAAAGACAGGUAGGUCGGAGGGAGGAGGGACAGACAGGCAGAGAU